CCUACGGGUGGCAGCAGUAGGGAAUAUUGCUCAAUGGGGGAAACCCUGAAGCAGCAACGCCGCGUGGAGGAUGAAGGUUUUCGGAUUGUAAACUCCUUUUGUUAGAGAAGAUAAUGACGGUAUCUAACGAAUAAGCACCGGCUAACUCCGUGCCAGCAGCCGCGGUAAUACGGAGGGUGCAAGCGUUACUCGGAAUCACUGGGCGUAAAGAGCGCGUAGGCGGGAUAGCAAGUCAGAUGUGAAAUCCUAUGGCUUAACCAUAGAAAUGCAUUUGAAACUGUUAAUCUAGAGUAUGGGAGAGGUAGGUGGAAUUCUUGGUGUAGGGGUAAAAUGCGUAGAGAUCAAGAGGAAUACUCAUGGCGAAGGCGACCUGCUAGAACAUAACUGACGCUGAUGCGCGAAAGCGUGGGGAGCAAACAGGAUUAGAUACCCUAGUAGUC
rnacentral:rRNA from 1 species